rnacentral:rRNA from 1 species
GACAGAGGCCUCAAGCGUUAGGCGGAAUCACUGGGCUUAAAGCGUGUGUAGGCGGAUCGUUAAGUGUCUUGUGAAAUCCCACGGCUCACCCGUGGAACUGCUGGGCAUACUGGCGAUCUUGGGCCAACUAGGGGCAACUGGAACAAGCGGUGGAGCGGUGAAAUGCGUAGAUAUCAGGAGGAACACCGGUGGCGAAGGCGGGUCUCGUGGGCAGUAACUGACGCUGAGGAGCGAAAGGCGUGGGGGAGGCGAACAGG